CAACGAGGCAAUACCGGCAACCAGUACACCUCAACUGCGGAGAAUGUUCCACGAGAUUGCCUCUGGCAGACCCACUCCAGAGCACUGGUUUGAAAGUCUGGCCUUUCAAACGCCUGUGAUGGAAGAACACCUUGGAGAUGGAGAUUCUGCUGGGACUGCUCCGACCCUCUCAGGUGA